AGUUUGAUCCUGGCUCAGAUUGAACGCUGGCGGCAGGCCUAACACAUGCAAGUCGAACGGUAACAUUUCUAGCUUGCUAGAAGAUGACGAGUGGCGGACGGGUGAGUAAUGCUUGGGAACUUGCCUUUGCGAGGGGGAUAACAGUUGGAAACGACUGCUAAUACCGCAUAAUGUCUUCGGACCAAACGGGGCUUCGGCUCCGGCGCAAAGAGAGGCCCAAGUGAGAUUAGCUAGUUGGUAAGGUAACGGCUUACCAAGGCGACGAUCUCUAGCUGUUCUGAGAGGAAGAUCAGCCACACUGGGACUGAGACACGGCCCAGACUCCUACGGGAGGCAGCAGUGGGGAAUAUUGCACAAUGGGGGAAACCCUGAUGCAGCCAUGCCGCGUGUGUGAAGAAGGCCUUCGGGUUGUAAAGCACUUUCAGUUGUGAGGAAAAGUUAGUAGUUAAUACCUGCUAGCCGUGACGUUAACAACAGAAGAAGCACCGGCUAACUCCGUGCCAGCAGCCGCGG
rnacentral:rRNA from 1 species